rnacentral:rRNA from 1 species
CCUACGGGAGGCUGCAGUGGGGAAUAUUGCACAAUGGGCGCAAGCCUGAUGCAGCCAUGCCGCGUGUGUGAAGAAGGCCUUCGGGUUGUAAAGCACUUUCAGCGGGGAGGAAGGCGUUAAGGUUAAUAACCUUGGCGAUUGACGUUACCCGCAGAAGAAGCACCGGCUAACUCCGUGCCAGCAGCCGCGGUAAUACGGAGGGUGCAAGCGUUAAUCGGAAUUACUGGGCGUAAAGCGCACGCAGGCGGUCUGUCAAGUCGGAUGUGAAAUCCCGGGCUCAACCUGGGAACUGCAUUCGAAACUGGCAGGCUAGAGUCUUGUAGAGGGGGGUAGAAUUCCAGGUGUAGCGGUGAAAUGCGUAGAGAUCUGGAGGAAUACCGGUGGCGAAGGCGGCCCCCUGGACAAAGACUGACGCUCAGGUGCGAAAGCGUGGGGAGCAAACAGGAUUAGAUACCCCGGUAGUC